GUUCGAUGAAGAACGCAGCUAACAAGGUUUCCGUAGGUGAACCUGCGGAGGGAUCAUUACACAAAUAUGAAGGCGGGCUGGAACCUCUCGGGGUUACAGCCUUGCUGAAUUAUUCACCCUUGUCUUUUGCGUACUUCUUGUUUCCUUGGUGGGUUCGCCCACCACUAGGACAAACAUAAACCUUUUGUAAUUGCAAUCAGCGUCAGUAACAAAUUAAUAAUUACAACUUUCAACAACGGAUCUCUUGGUUCUGGCA
rnacentral:misc_RNA from 1 species